rnacentral:rRNA from 1 species
AAGAACACACAAGGCGUGGAGCCUGCGGCUUAAUUUGACUCAACACGGGAAAUCUCACCAGGCCCGGACACCGGAAGGAUUGACAGAUUGAGAGCUCUUUCUUGAUUCGGUGGGUGGUGGUGCAUGGCCGUUCUUAGUUGGUGGAGCGAUUUGUCUGGUUAAUUCCGAUAACGAACGAGACUCUGGCCUACUAACUAGACGUUAGAUCCUUUAUGGGUUUGACGAUGCUUCUUAGAGGGACGGGCGGCUUUUAGCCGCACGAGAAUGAGCAAUAACAGGUCUGUGAUGCCCUUAGAUGUCCGGGGCUGCACGCGCGCUACACUGAAAGAAUCAGCGUGCUAAAACCAUUGUCGAAAGGCAUUGGUAAACCCAUUAAAAUCCUACGUGAUUGGGAUCGGGAAUUGCAGUUAUUUCCCUUGAACGAGGAAUUCCCAGUAAGUGUGGGUCAUAAGCUCGCGUUGAUUACGUCCCUGCCCUUUGUACACACCGCCCGUCGCUGCCCGGGACUGAGCCGUUUCG